AAUGAACGUUGGCGGCGUGGAUUAGGCAUGCAAGUCGUACGGGCCGCAAGGCCAGUGGCGCAAGGGUGAGUAAGGCGACGGUAACCAACCCCAUGACUGGGUAUAGCCGCGGGAAACUGCGGGUAAUCCCCAGCGACGUCUCCGGGGGGCAUCUCCGGGAGACCAAAGCUCCGGCGUCGUGGGACGGGCCGUCGUGGUAUUAGGUGGUUGGCGGGGUAACGGCCCACCAAGCCUGCGAUGCCUACCGGGCGUGCGAGCGUGGCCCGGCACACUGGGACUGAGACACUGCCCAGACUCCUACGGGAGGCUGCAGUCGAGAAUCUUCGGCAAUGGGCGCAAGCCUGACCGAGCGACGCCGCGUGGAGGACGAAGGCCUUCGGGUUGUAAACUCCUGUCGAGGGGGAAGAAGGCCCCGCAAGGGGCUUGACUGAUCCCUGGAGGAAGCACGGGCUAAGUUCGUGCCAGCAGCCGCGGUAAGACGAACCGUGCGAACGUUAUUCGGAGUCACUGGGCUUAAAGCGCGUGUAGGCGGAUGGGAACGUCGGAACCUGAAAGCCCCCGGCUCAACCGGGGAAGUGGGGCCGAAACGACCCGUCUCGAGGGACGUAGGGGGAUCUGGAACUUCCGGUGGAGCGGUGAAAUGCGUUGAGAUCGGAAGGAACGCCCGUGGCGAAAGCGAGAUCCUGGACGUCUACUGACGCUGAGACGCGAAAGCUAGGGGAGCGAACGGGAUUAGAUACCCUGGUAGUCCUAGCUGUAAACGUUGGGUGCUAGGUGUGGGCGGAUAUUGACCCCGUCCGUGCCGAAGCUAACGCAUUAAGCACCCCGCCUGGGGAGUACGGCCGCAAGGCUAAA
rnacentral:rRNA from 1 species